UGUGUUUUUGUUUCAUUAGCUUCAAUUAAUAUUUUAUAUUUAUAAGAGCAUAUAUAUAUGCAAACGUGCGUCGAUGGAAUAAGCUUAUGUGUAAGACUUGUUUUCUUUUAAGUUAUCAAAAAAUAUUCUCACAACAGUGUUGUAAUUUUUACUAAUGCUUUAAUUUUAAUAUAGUCAUAUAUAUAUACAUGUAUAUAUAUAUAUAUAUAUAUAUAUAUAUAUAUGUGAUAGUAAAGUUAGGUAUAUAUUUUUAUCAUAGUUAUUAUUAUUAUUAUUAUUAUUAUUACAAUUUGUUUUUUUAAUAUACUUUUUAAUUUGUUAAAAAUUGUUUGUGUCUUAUACACGCAUGCGUAUAUAUGUAUGUACACUAUAGGUAUGUUCAUAAAAUAAGUACACACAUGUACAUAUGUAUAUAUAUACAUAUACCUAGAUGCACGUUACAACAUACAUAUAUAUAAUUUCUUUUUUUUUUUUUUUUUUUUUUUUGUCAAAUUUAAAGUUCAUGUUUUAAAAAAUGGUACCUGAAAGUAAUUUAAGACCCGUUGUCUCAAAUUUGUUCAGAUGUAUAUCAGAGGUAUGUGUUGUUAAUAUAAAAUUGGUCAAUUAAAAAAAAGUGUAUAUGUAUAUCACCGUUUCUCUGUGUAAUUAUUUUAUCAUUUUUAUUUUUUUUUUUUAAAUGUACUACAACAUUUGAUUCAUGUUAAUGACUGAUUAAAAAAUGCAAUAAAUAUUUGUUUAAUGUUCAUGCAUAAGUGAGCAUAUAUAUACACAUAUAUACAUUUGACUACAUGUGCCUUUUAAAUUUAAGGAAAUUGCUAAGGAACAACCAAGAAAUGUAAUUCAUUUUAUGGUUGAUUAUUUAUUUAAAAAUUAUGCAUCGGACUUAAAAGGUUUCGAUAAAGUAUGGAAUGUAGAUAUGGAACUAGAAAAAGAAAAGAAAUUAGUCAUAUUAUUUUUUAAACACCAAAAAUUGACUACUGAAAUCGCAAAGCAUUUUAUGAAUGUUGGAUUUGAUAGUAUUGAUGCUUUGCAAUGCUUAAACGUUCAUAUUUUAGACGACAUAGAAAAUUUUAAUAAAAUUAAGUGGUUACCCGGGCACAAAAUAAGGCUACAAGUUAUAAUUCAAACUUACACAUUUUAUAUACAUUUUUUUUUGUCACUUAUUUUGUUUUGUCACUUAUUUUGUUUUGUCAUUUAUUUUGUUUUGUCAU
rnacentral:lncRNA from 1 species